rnacentral:lncRNA from 1 species
CGGUGUUCUAGCAGGUGGCUGCUUUCUCUGGGCUGGCUGUGGGAGGCUCCCGAGGUGGGGACCCGGCCGGGAUGGCUGCAGCGGCGGCCGGGGCUGGGAGCGGGCCCUCGGCGGCCCAGGAGAAGCAGUUCCUGCCGGCGCUGCUGAGUUUCUUCAUCUACAACCCGCGCUUCUGGCCGCGGGAAGGAGAGGUUGUUCGGAAUCCUAUAAUUGAAAAACAGUAAAGAUGGAAAACCAGUUAUUGAAUAUCAAGAGGAGGAGUUGUUGGACAAGGUUUAUAGCUCGGUGCUGCAGCAGUGCUACAGCAUGUACAAGGCAGGUGUGUACAGCAAGAAGUGAAUAACACAGAAAUCAAUGAUGAAAGCAUUAGAAGACAAUUGAGUCUGUCAGAACUGCAAAAUAUUGCUGAGUGUGGAUUGCUCUGAAAUCUGAAAACAUUACUUGUGAAUUGCUUCUAUUCAAAAUGCAGACACAAUGCCAGGUGUUGGUUUACUUGUUUCCCAUUUUUCAACCCUCGUUUCUAGGCAAAGGUGUCCAAAUUAUGCAGACCCACAGAAUCUAAC